rnacentral:lncRNA from 1 species
GACUCUUUAGAAAUGGUGUGACCUACUGCACAAAGCUCAGUUCAAUGACUCUUCAUUCUCCCUCUAUUAAAAUACAGUCAGCCUUAUUCCAGUAUACUGUUAGACAAUCAAGUUGCCCUUCCCACCCUGAUUGGAGUUAGUUUUAAUAAUUGCUAUGUGAAUAUUUGCAAUUGGUUCACUUAAACGUAUGUGAAGAGUAACAUUGUGGGUGGUUCUGAUUUAGAAAACUAUAAUAAAUCAGUUUUUUUUUUAAUUUCCUAAACAAAAGAGUGAAGAUUGCAUGUUAAAACUAUAAUCUUGCUAUAAUUUAUGUCCUAAGUUAGAAAUGAUUGCUACUAUAGUUAGCUUCAAUUUCUACAUCCUUUGUUCACAAGAAAUGUUGGCUUUGCUGCCUGCCCUCGUUCCCCUACCACCGCCUUUGCUUCUGUUUCACCUAGUUUCUUGUAAAUUAAUUUUACUUUGUUGCAUACUAAGAAGCAUUUUAACACUGUAAGUUUUUCCUCCGUUCAAAUAUUCUGUCUUUUCUGGUUUUCUGACUGAGGGAUAUUAACUCUUGUCUCUAAGGUGCCACUGUGACCCCAGAUGCACUGAGUAGCUUGGAUGCUUGCAAUGCAAAUCGCUUUGAGUAAACAUUGUAUAGCCUAGUUGGCAUUGCUGAGUAUGUACAUAUUUCUAUCUCA